GUUUGAUCCUGGCUCAGGACGAACGCUGGCGGCGUGCCUAAUACAUGCAAGUAGAACGCUGAAGACUUUAGCUUGCUAGAGUUGGAAGAGUUGCGAACGGGUGAGUAACGCGUAGGUAACCUGCCUAUUAGUGGGGGAUAACUAUUGGAAACGAUAGCUAAUACCGCAUAAUAGUGUUUAACACAUGUUAGAGACUUAAAAGAUGCAAUUGCAUCACUAGUAGAUGGACCUGCGUUGUAUUAGCUAGUUGGUGGGGUAACGGCCUACCAAGGCGACGAUACAUAGCCGACCUGAGAGGGUGAUCGGCCACACUGGGACUGAGACACGGCCCAGACUCCUACGGGAGGCAGCAGUAGGGAAUCUUCGGCAAUGGGGGCAACCCUGACCGAGCAACGCCGCGUGAGUGAAGAAGGUUUUCGGAUCGUAAAGCUCUGUUGUAAGAGAAGAACGUGUGUGAGAGUGGAAAGUUCACACAGUGACGGUAACUUACCAGAAAGGGACGGCUAACUACGUGCCAGCAGCCGCGGUAAUACGUAGGUCCCGAGCGUUGUCCGGAUUUAUUGGGCGUAAAGCGAGCGCAGGCGGUUUAAUAAGUCUGAAGUUAAAGGCAGUGGCUUAACCAUUGUUCGCUUUGGAAACUGUUAAACUUGAGUGCAGAAGGGGAGAGUGGGAUUCCAUGUGUAGCGGUGAAAUGCGUAGAUAUAUGGAGGAACACCGGUGGCGAAAGCGGCUCUCUGGUCUGUAACUGACGCUGAGGCUCGAAAGCGUGGGGAGCAAACAGGAUUAGAUACCCUGGUAGUCCACGCCGUAAACGAUGAGUGCUAGGUGUUAGGCCCUUUCCGGGGCUUAGUGCCGCAGCUAACGCAUUAAGCACUCCGCCUGGGGAGUACGACCGCAAGGUUGAAACUCAAAGGAAUUGACGGAAGGGCGAAAU
rnacentral:rRNA from 1 species